rnacentral:rRNA from 1 species
AUUGAACGCUGGCGGCAGGCCUAACUCAUGCAAGUCGAACGGUAACAGGAAGCAGCUUGCUGCUUCGCUGACGAGUGGCGGACGGGUGAGUAAUGUCUGGUAAGCUUCCUGAUGGAGGGGGAUAACUACUGGAAACGGUAGCUAAUACCGCAUAAUGUCUCAAGACCAAAGAGGGGGACCUUCGGGCCUCUUUCCAUCGGAUGUGCCCAGAUGGUAUUAGCUUGUUGGUGGGGUAACGGCUCACCAAGGCGACGAUCCCUAGCUGGUCUGAGAGGAUGGCCAGCCACACUGGAACUGAGACACGGUCCAGACUCCCACGGGAGGCAGCAGUGGGGAAUAUUGAACAAUGGGCGCAAGCCUGAUGCAGCCAUGCAGCGUGUAUGAAGAAGGCCUUAGGGUUGUAAAGUACUUUCAGCGGGGAGGAAGGGAGUAAAGUUAAUAACUUUGCUCAUUGACGUUACCCGCAGAAGAAGCACCGGCUAACUCCGUG